CGACAUCAGCUGUCAAACCACGACAGAGUGGAAAAGGAAAAUAAAUGGACUGAGAUUGCAGAAGUCCUGCAAAUGCCCGUUGCUGAGGUGAAAACAAGGGGUCUGUCUCUGAGGACACAAUUUAGCCGUCUCCUACGACCUCGACCGAGUGGAAGUGGGAAAAGCCCCUCACUUCCAAACAGCAAUGGAUCUUGAGAAGUUUGGAGUUUCUUAAACCGUUCGUCACCCCCCGCAACACUGAGACCAGCCUUGUUAUUGAAGACAGUGAGACAGAUACACAGGGGACAGUGGCUGAUGAGGAGGUGUCCUCUCCUCUUGAGUAUUCUACUCUGGACAAGGACAUCGCAGAGUCUGUGCUCAGGCCUUGUACACCAGGCUCAUCAAGGUCCUCAAGCCCACCACCAUUAGAGCCCAGAGUCCACCAGCCUUUAAACAAAAAGGCAAGACGCGUCAGUGACAUUGAGCUUGAGAAGCUUGAAUUGCUUAAAGAAAUGUCCCAAACUGUCAGAGGCUUCAACACAGAAAAGAAAUUAUAAAAUGGAAGAAGAGGCAAGCUUUGGACGACAGGUUGCAGUUGAGGUCAGUCACAUCAAAGACCCAACAUUAAAAACAAGAGCCAAAAAAAAAAUUAUGACCAUACUGUAUGAUUUUCAAGAAGCAGAUCAACAGCAACUGAGAGGCAGGGCACAAUACAGGCCACAGCCUAAUGAUCAACUUGACAUUUGGCCACAGGAAACACCAUCACAAUACUUAACCCAAGGUCUGCAACAUCGUCAAGUCCAGCCUCACAUUAAUCCUCAAACAUUACAACCACCACCACCAGCACACACACACAGUCUACCUCAGAGCCAACAAAGUUUCAUGCAACUGAAAUAUUUUAAUAUUUUACAUUGUUGAUAUUGUUAACAUUUUACAGUUGAAGUACUGUUUUGUAUUUCAUUUGUUCUGAUAUGUAAAUUACACAUGCUGUACGUGUUUAAAUAAAUAGUGCUGAUGUUCAGACACUUUCAUAUCUGAAACACAAUGUUUCAACUUUAGUACUGUUUUGCACUUUACCUCACAGCUCAUGUGACUCGCUGGUAUUUUCAAAUUUCUGUGAAUGCUUUUGUGAGAAAUGACAUUUUGCUGUGAAUGUCCUUUUUUUCCCUGUAUCGUUUUAAUGUCAAAGAUUGUAGCCUGAGUUUGCACAGUAUUGCUCCAAUGUGGAAGUGCUUUUUUGACCCAGAAUAAACAAAAAAGUAAUUUUCAAUAA